GAGAUGGCCUCUCUACCCCAAAGAGAUGCCUGCAAGAAACUGGAACAAAGGACAAUAACUACAGGGGUGAGAGUGAUUGCUGAACCCAGACUAGGAGGAAGUCUAGUCCGUCAAAGAAGCUUAUUGGAACAUCUCUGAGGUCCUACUAGGAACAUUUACUCAUUCCUCCAUGAACAAAGUCAUUCACCAUGAAUCCAAAUGCCUAUGGAGAUAUUAACGCUGACCUGAAGAGGAAAAAUAGGAGGCUUGUGUUUUGAGGGAGAAAACCUCUUUUAAGGAUCCAACAUAUCAUCCAACAUAAGAAGGGAAGAUAGAAAUUCGCUAUUGUAAGCUGUAAGGAAAACACAAUCAAACAAAAAAGUGCACAAGUCCAAAUCCACCCCACACCUACAUGCUUGCAGGUCCCCUUUAGCUUAACUUGAAUUUUUUUGGGGAGAUAAAGGGUGGAGCAGCAUUUUAGAGCAGAUGUCUACUUACCA